GCGGGGUGAGGGAAGACUUAUGGGGUGGAUGAGAUCAUGUCUAAGUUGAAUCCUCAAACUUGAACUAGAGUUACCCAGAGUUAGCAAGGGCACAGGGCAGAGGCAGGGGUAGGGCCUGGGGGAUGGAAGGAGUGAGGAGGUCCACGUAGAACAUCAUGGGCAGAGACUCAGAUGCAGGAAACAGUGUAUCUAGAACUGUAGAUGGUUCUGCUUAUCUGUAGAGGAGGAUGCAUGUGGCAAGUGGCAGACAAGCUAGUGAGGUAGACAGGAGGCCAGCAUUCAAGGGAGCAGCAGAGGAAGAGAAAUCUGGGAAGAAGACUAAGAAGGAGCAGUCCAAAGGAGAGAAGGAAAAUCAAGCAGGUGGGAGAUCUGCACAGCACUUCUCCAUGAUCGCCAUGGUCUACACCAUAUGCUGCACAGAUUCACUUCUCCAUGGUCUGCAUGUGCCUCUAUUCCUGAAGGGAAACUUAGAAGAGAGAGGAAGAAGUGGAGAGCAAGAGAGGAAGCAGGGAACAGCAGAAGUAGUAUUAGAAUGGAGGUCAGGACAGCUGGACCCACACCCUGCUCUGUAGUCCCUUAGCUUCCUGUGAGACCUGGCAGGGGCAAGGCCCUCAAAAAUUUGUGUCAUGAUGGUGAGAGGAACUGGAGAAGCUCUCACCUACAAGUGAUCUUCUGCCGGAAAGAGCUGGAAAGACGCUGUGACCCUGAGUGGAUCCCAAAGCCCAUCUUGGUCAGCCUGUCAAAUGGAAGGAUGGGAGUUCUUCAAAGGUCUCUUCUAGGGCAAAAGGUCCAUGACUUCACAUACUCCUGAAAUCAACUCAUGAUCUCCCUUCACGCCAUCAAUGUGGGUGGGCACUGGAUCAGAAGCCCCUGUGUGCCAUGUUCCCACUUCUUACACUGCAUCGCUAUUAAUGCUCCAGCUUGGGUCACAUCCAUCAUCUCUCCAUGACUGCUGUCAGUUUAAAGUCUCUUGCUUCUCUUUGCUUGUUUUACUUUGAUCCUUCUCUACAAUUUCUUUGGAUGAUUGUGGAUUAUCUGAGGAAAUGCCAAUACUCACUUAUGUCAUCCAACCAUGAAUCUUGGGAUUCAUACCCAUCUCUUAUAAUACAAGAAAUACAGUACAUAUGCAUUCAAAAUAUGACUUUCUUUGGG
rnacentral:lncRNA from 1 species